GAAAGUGAUGGGCUCUGUCCUUACACCCAGCCCCAGUGGGAGCUUGGGCAGGGAGUGGGAGGAUGAGAAACGUCUUCAUUUUACACAACAAAGUGCUUCUCCAAGGGCUCGUAAAAGGCGCCUGCAAAAACCUCUGCCUUCCUGUGCCUCCCAGCCCCGAGGUUCUCAGGCUCAUCUGGCUCAACUGCGCUUUCUCCAGCGAUAACUCAGGAGCCCCAUUCAACCCGCGGAGUGGCAGGUAUAGGGUGUCACCCCUCAGAGCCCUGAGGAUGAGGGUGAGCGUCCAGGCAGCAGCCAAGCCCCCAAGGCUGGCCCACUGACACCGUGUGUUUUUCUAACAGCUUUCUUUGUUGACUUUAGUUCAUCAUUACAACGGCCACAUGAGAAAUAGAGAAGUGUGCUUUCUGUCUGUCACCUGCAAAAGGACUUGAGAACAAUGAAAACUACCUCUGCAGGAUAUUGAUUCUGAUGGAACAAAAUGUUGAUUAAGCAGAACAGUGACUUUUUUUUAACUGGAGGAGCUCCAGAUCUUUCCUUAGUCCCGUCUCUCCAGGGAAAUGAGCUUUAGCCUCAACAAUCUGCAGAAAACUCGAGUCAGAGGGAAGAUUUAUGAUGGGACGUGAUGGGCGGAAGACAGCUAUCUGGUAGGCCAUCUCGAAGCUCAUCUUUGUGUUAUUAGAGAAACACUCUCUCUCUUGACAGGAUAUAGUCUGGUUAUCACACCAUCGUCUCAAGUUUCAUUCCCCUUCUGCUUACAAAUGCCCCAAAUAUACAGAGAUGCAUUUCACGAAGACAGCCUUUUGAGAGGCAGUUUAUCCCAGCUGUUGCAGUCGAUCUUAAACACCUACCUUUUCACGCUGGUGUGGAGUUUACAUGUCGAUAAGCGUUAUAAAAAACGGGGGUGGGGGGCAGGGCGACGUUGGAAAUCUCAGCAAGGGUAAAGCACCAAGGCUGCCUGUGGGAAUUGAAGUCAGAAAAAAGAAAGAGCGCAGAAAGCUUGAUGUUCCAGUAAUGACACCCCCCCACCCCCCCUCCCGCGCCCUGGCCCACAGGAGACCCGCACUGCCUGGGGGCUGGGGGCUGACCCCAAACACCAGGGGCUGUAAACACUUUUCUAGUCACAUAAACAGGAUGGAUUCCUUGCCUGCCACUUAGGUGUUUUCCUGUUAAGGGCCGGUGGCAAAACAGAAGUGAUUAGAUGUAGGUAGAAAGCAGGAGAACCAGACGUGGAAGGUCUCAGGCUUCCCUCAGGAACUCUCUGUCCAGGCGUUGUGCACGUCCUACAGUGAUAAAUCCUCAGCGCCUGAUGUUGCCGCUAUCAUUUGCGCUCCCAGUUGGCCCAGUGGGAUUUGUUGGUCAAUGACCCGUGAGCUUUCUCUCACUCCUGGGUCUGUACGCAUAGAGAGCAGAAAGCUCUUGGGGAGCUGCUGAGAUUAAGUCCCUGAAGACUUUCAAAGUGGGGGGUUGGGGAGUUAGAAUUGAGUGUUAAAUGGGGAAAAUGGGAGUUCCCACUCUAGGACAGCAGAAAGGAAUCUGACUAGUAUCCAUGAGGAUGAGGUUUCGAUUCCUGGCCUUGCUCAGUGGGUUAAAGAUCCGGUGUUGCCCUGACCUGUGAUGCAGGUCCCAGAUGCUGCUGGGAUCCGGUGUUGCUGUGGCUGUGAUGUAGGCAGGCAGCUGUAGCUCUGAUUCAACCCCUUACCUUGGAACUUCCAGGUGGCACGGGUGUGGCCCUAAAAAGCAAAAGAAACAAACAAACAAAUAAGGAAAACAGGAGACUUGGGUCCAGAGCCUUGCCAGGGUCCCAUUUUAGCAGAGGGGGGCGGGGUGGGGGGGUUGUUGGAGAGGAAAUAAACCUGGGACUCCAAGCCCACAGGAUGAACGGUCGUGUUUGAAGUUGGGACUGGUGAGCUCAGGAAGCUGGCUGCAUCGGGUUCCCAUUAGCUCAGGCAGCGGCACAGUGGGUUCACACCAUCGACAUGGUAACAAUUAAGCCUUCUGCUACUGGUCCUUCCCUGGGGGUGAGGCUCUUUUGUUCCUCACCCAUGUGACUGCAAGUCGCCCUGGUUUCCUUAUGGCUCGAUUUCCUGCAGAUUCCCAUUACUUAGCAUCUAAUCUUCUGAGACCUCUUAUUAGACCACACAAAUGGCAGCAAUUGUCUCCAGCACAUAGACCCUGUCCCAGACCUGCAAUGCGCCUAGGAGAAAUGCUGUGUCUCUCUGAAAUGUGAGAGUUACUUGCAAUGUAAAUAGUCAGAUUACCAAAAAUCAGAGUUCAUUCAAUAUUAAGGGAAAAUAAAUUAAUUAUACAUGCAUACUCUGAAGCAUGCUAAAUUAUUCCUCCCCUACCCCUUGUAUUUUAAAGUAUGGUUUAGAACAAUUAUCUCCACCUUCAGUGAUGAGAGAGGGAAGGAAGGAACAAAUGACUGUAAUAUGUAGGGGAAAGCUAAAAAGAUAGAAAGUUCUGAUUUUUUUCAAGGAAGAAGAAUACAUCUCUAUAGAGACAAAGCCAAAUCAUAGAAAAUGUGAUUUGGGCUGAACUUUGAAAAAUAGGUAGAAUUUGGGAGUUUCCAUCACGGCUCAGGAGUUUCCGUUGUGGCUCAGUGGAAAUGAAUCUGACUAGCAUCCAUGAGGACGCAGGUUUGAUUCCUGGCUUUGAUCAGUAGAUUAAGGAUCUGGCGUUUCUGUGAGCUCUGGUGUAGGUUGAAGGCUUGGCUUGAUCCUGUGUUGUUGUGGCUGUGGCGUAGGCCAUCAGGUACAGCUCUGAUUCAACCCCUAGCCUGGGGGGUGUGGUCUAAAAAG
rnacentral:lncRNA from 9 species